CCAGGAACUGCGAAGAGGAUCUCAAGCAGCCAAUAUUUACUGCAUCAACUUCAAUCAGGAUGCGUCCCUCAUCUGCGUAUCCAGCGACCACGGCACAGUGCAUAUUUUUGCAGCUGAAGAUCCAAAAAGGAAUAAACAGUCCAGUUUGGCCUCAGCCAGUUUCCUUCCAAAAUACUUCAGUUCCAAGUGGAGUUUCUCCAAGUUUCAGGUUCCCUCAGGCUCUCCGUGCAUUUGUGCCUUUGGAACAGAGCCAAACGCCGUCAUUGCAAUUUGUGCAGACGGCAGCUACUACAAAUUCCUGUUCAACCCCAAGGGGGAGUGCAUCCGAGAUGUCUACGCGCAGUUUCUAGAGAUGACCGAUGACAAGCUGUGACUCCAGCUGGGGGCGCCACAGCACCCACCACCUGCCGCCUUCAGACUCUCGGGGCUGGUGCCAGUGCCCCAGGGGCCUCCUGGGCCACGGGCUGGAGGGGCUGCCCAGGGACCUUGGUCUCGAAGCCAUACGUGGUUGUCUGCUUUCCUAAGGACUCCCAUUUCCAGUAUUAAAGAGAGAAUCAUCAUCAAGGCACCGUAGAUUGCAAACAUGUAAAACCUGCAUAGCAGCGAGUUCUCGGUUUUGCCGGUUUCUUUAGUUCUUUACUGUCACUGUCAUGUAAUCAGCUAAUUCUCUGUGGAUGUUGCUGUAAAGUAUGCAUGUUCCUUUCAUGUGUAUUUAAUCAUGAUGUUUAAUUUUGCACACUUAUUUGUAAUGUUUCUUUUAAAUAAAAGUGACUAAUUUU
rnacentral:lncRNA from 1 species